rnacentral:rRNA from 1 species
GACGAACGCUGGCGGCGUGCUUAACACAUGCAAGUCGAACGGUAAGGCCCUUCGGGGUACACGAGUGGCGAACGGGUGAGUAACACGUGGGUGAUCUGCCCUGCACUUCGGGAUAAGCUUGGGAAACUGGGUCUAAUACCGGAUAUGAUCACGCUCUUCAUGGGGUGUGGUGGAAAGCUUUUGCGGUGUGGGAUGGGCCCGCGGGCCUAUCAGCUUGUUGGUGGGGUAAUGGCCUACCAAGGCGACGACGGGUAGCCGGCCUGAGAGGGUGUCCGGCCACACUGGGACUGAGAUACGGCCCAGACUCCUACGGGAGGCAGCAGUGGGGAAGUAUUGCACAAUGGGCGCAAGCCUGAUGCAGCGACGCCGCGUGGGGGA